CCACGUGCGGACACAGAGGGAGGACGUCACCGGAGGACGCAGGUGGAGACUGGAGCCCUGCGUCCUCAGGCUGAGGGUCGCCCAAGGCCACCAGAAGAGAGAUGCUCUGGAGAUGUGAUGGGUGCGGCUCAGAGUGUAGGUCCUGGCAUUGGACAGAGCAGAAACUUUUUCCAGGGUUUGGGGAAAAGAAUCAAGAGAAAGAGCUUCCAAGGCUCGUGUUCUUCCUGAUUCCACAGCACGGCCCCCGUGCCCUGGGCUGGCGCAGCCAAGCGGGCAGCAUCUCCUGCAGGAAACUGGAAAGAUGCCUCACAACAGGCGUACUUUUAUUUUUAGCCCAAAGGGAUAUUUUGGCUCUUUAGUCACCCCGCCCAAGCUUCACGAUUCUCUGUGCCUUCACUAUUUAAUUCAACAAGUUUUUAUUAAGUACCUGCUAUAGAUAUGCCAACACUACUCUGGGGACAAACCAGACAAACCCCCGACUUGCCCAGUGCGUGUCAGGUGCAAACAGAUGCUGGGAGAACAGAGGAGGGCGUGGGUACAUAUGCUGUAUUUCACGGGGCAAUCAGGGACACCGUCUCUGCAAUGACGCUCGGGAGA